rnacentral:tRNA from 1 species
UGAAACAUAGCUUAAUAAAAGCACAUUGCUUACACCAAUAUAAUGCCUGUUAAAUCCGGGCUGUCUCAAG